UACGGAGGGUGCAAGCGUUAUCCGGAUUCACUGGGUUUAAAGGGUGCGUAGGUGGGUCUGUAAGUCAGUGGUGAAAUCUCCGGGCUUAACCCGGAAACUGCCAUUGAUACUAUAGGUCUUGAAUUUUCUGGAGGUGAGCGGAAUAUGUCAUGUAGCGGUGAAAUGCUUAGAUAUGACAUAGAACACCAAUUGCGAAGGCAGCUCGCUACAGGAACAUUGACACUGAGGCACGAAAGCGUGGGGAUCAAACAGG
rnacentral:rRNA from 1 species